UUCAAGUAAUCCAGGAUAGGCUUGUUGAAACCAGGGGAAGGCCUAUUCGGGGUGACUUGGUUC
rnacentral:pre_miRNA from 1 species